rnacentral:rRNA from 1 species
AUGGGUCUCGCUGCGUCAUUACUGAGGGAAAAACACAAUGGUGUUUUGAUAUCUGUAGUUCAACUCUUCACGGAAUUGUGUAAAGCCAACAAAGAUGCAAUGGAGUACCUGAGGAAGAACUGCAUCAAAGGUCUGGUCCGAAUACUUAGAGAUCUCUUCAAUAGUUCAUAUGCUCCCGAGAAUGAUGUUGCUGGCAUUUUAGAUCCUUUCUUGCAUAUUUUAGUUCUUAAACUUAAAAGGCAAAAUUUCAGGCCGCAAACAAAGAAAGCUACAGCAAAUAAAUUCAGCCCAGGGUCACCUGAUUAA